rnacentral:misc_RNA from 1 species
UACAACGUAACAACUUUAGAAAUCGUCCUUCUUCUCUUUUUACACAUAUGCACGUCCGUAAACUAUGUUUGGAAAAUAUAGCAGUUGGCGACUUCAUUUUCCAAAGUGCGAAGUAACAGGAAGAAGAUAGUUUAAGGAGAAAAAUGGCAGAAGAUGCUGUGAUUUUACAAAACUGAAUUAAAAUUGAGAAAUUAAUGUACAAUAUAAUUCUA